AUUUACUUUGCAUCUCGUAGUAUCUCUGCCAGCCUUAUUGAUAGCAGUUGCAGUAUACCAGGCAGAAUCUUGGCUGACAGUGGAAUCAAUUCUAAGGGCAGCUUCUCCCUUUAUGCCUUCAAUUCUAUAAAAAGGGAAGAAAAAUCAAUACAGAAGUAGUUAUUGCUUUUUUAGUUAUUUGGAUUUUAUAAUGAGCUUAGUUUUAUUAUUUUCAAGCAAACUCACAUGAUUCUUGGAUAUUUAUGAGGUACAAUGAUGUCACUGUUUUUCAGCCAUACAAUGUCAGGGUUGGGAUUACCCGUAGCUCUGACUUUCAUUUCAAGUCGAGAACCUUCCUUUAUAUUGACAUUUUUUAGUUUUUCCACAAACAUUGGUUUUACCUGAUGUUCCACAGCUGGAAGAGAAAGUUUGUGAUUCAGAGUGAGUAGGGCUGAAAUACCUGUUUAUAGCCCAAGUAAUAAGGUAGUUUCUUUAUUAAGGGCUAAUACCUUCCACAGUUAAAAUCACUGAAAUCGAAGAUUUGCCUGCCCUGUUUUGGGCAACCACAGUCCAUUCCCCAGAAUCACUGGGGGAUGCAGGGACAAUAAUCAGUGAUUGGGUACCAUCUUCUUUAAUGACUACUUUAUGGGUAUAAUCAUUGACAAUUUGCUGGCCUGUAAAAAAUUAAGUAAAAAAGAAAACAUAGAUUAAAAUAGUUCUUUUUAAAAAGUGCUGUGCGUACAUAUAAGCUUAUUUUUGUGUUUCAUGAUUUGUAAGUAAAAAAUUAUCAUACUUACCAUCAUGAAACCAGAAGGUCUCUGGCAUGGGUCUACCGACAACCUUUAAGUCAAAUCUGGCAGUUUGUCCUUCUAAACAUUUGAAAGAAGCAGGCUUUAACACAAAGACUGGCUUAUACAGUCUCUCAAGUUGUGACUCAUCUGUUUCCUCCAGCCGACGUCCAGGGGACAUUCUUGCAGGGGACAUCCGUGCAGGUGACAUCCUUGCAGGGGACAUGCGUGCAGGAGACAUGCGUAUAGGAGAUCUACUCACUGAACGUGGAGAGAUGGAUCUGAAAAACAAAACAGAAUAUUUUCAUGAGGCACAGAGAAAACAAAGCAAAAUAAACAAACCCCCUUCUUAAUGUUAUUUUAGAAUAUACUUCAUAUAUUAUUAGAAGGCACUUCAAACUCACUGGGAUCCAAAACAGAGUACAUUAUUGUUCCCCCCAAAUCUAUGUUUUCCAUAUAUCCUCAAUCCCAGUCAGUAUUAUUCAACACAGUCAAGUACUCAGCCUUAAAAUCUUGGAAUAAUUCUUAAUACAGUCUUUCCAUCAUCACCUGAAUUAGUCACCAAACCCUUCUGAUUCAACUGCUAAAACAUCUCAAUAAAUGUUGGUCAGUUAAAUAACCCAAUGAAUAAAUUUAUAGAAAAAGAGAAAUAUAAUUUUUUAUCCAAGGGAAGGGAAAACAUAGAAAUUAUAUUUGAAAAAAAACAAAAACCUAUUUGCCCAUUGCAGCCAGACUGGCUUGGAUUGAAUUUCAAGUGCUGGCACAAUCAGGGCUGGUGAACUAAGACAAUUUUUAUAGGCUCACAAAGAUUAAGUGCCCCCACUUCUAAAAUAGUAAUAAGAAUACCUACAUUGCAGGGUUGUUGUAUAAAUUAGAGAUAACAUAUGUAAAAUUAGGUAUUAAGUAAACCUUUAUAGUUUUCAUCAUAUUGGUUCUAGCACCAGCAAAUGAAUAGCAUGCCACACUAAUGACAAUGCUUUGCUCACCUUGCACAGGGGCAAGAAGUAAAAACUCUUGGCAUCAUCUGAAUUGCGAAUGGCAAGUUUUGGUGUUAUCUCCACUUUUUUGGCCCCCACACAACAGCAAUUUGCUAUUGGGAUAUUUGGUGUUUUAAGCAAUUUAAACAUUAAUCAACCCAAAUUGUUCUGAGUCUUACCUUAUUCUGCUCACUGAUUCUGGCGUAGGUAUGUAAGUCGGAGCACUGAGAGGUGCAGCAGGUUCCACAUACAACUUCCCUGAGCAAAUUGCAUUUCCCUUAAUAUUGCUGGCAAAUGCGGUGUAGAUGCCUUCAUCUUCUGGAAGAACAACAGGUAUUCGCAGACUAGCUCUGCCAUCUUGCAGAAAGUCCAUUUGGUAUCUCUCUCCAUGUUUGAUGCGCUUGCCAUCUUUGUACCACGCAAUCUGCAAAUAAUAUGCAUAUUUGAAAAAAAUUAGAUAAAAUAGUUAUUGUAGAUGAUGUAUAUCUUUAUUGUAGUGUGGAGGCAUGAUGUUUAUUUUUUUUACCUUGGGUAAUGGAUAGCCAGACAUCUUGCAAUGAAAAGUAACACCCAUUCCCUCAAGAAUUCUAUAAUUCUUGAUUCUUAAAUCAAAUCCUGCUUCAAUAGCUUCAGAUUCAGAAAUGUCAACUGCCAUCUUUUCUUCUCCAUCUUCUUCAAGAAGUUCUUCUAAUGUAGUCUUUAUUAUUCUGUAUUCAAUUUCUUUGAUGAGCCUCUCUUCAAAGGAAGAAAUAUGGAAUUCCUAUGUAGUAAAAAAGAUGACAGUUUGUUAAAAAUAUAUAAAUCUUGACAGACAGAAAUGCUUUAAGACUAUUAGUUUCAGGGGCACCUUGGUGGCUUAGUUGGUUAAUCAUCCAACUCUUAAUUUUGGCUCAGGUCGUGAUCUCGCAGUUCAUGAGAUUGAGACCCAUGUGGGACUCUGCGCUGACAGUGUGGAGCCUGCUUGGGAUUCUCUCUCUCUCCCUCUCUCUGUGCCCCUUCCCUGCUCAUGCACAUGCUGUCUUUUAAAAUAAAUAAAUUAACUUUUUUAAAAAAAGAGUAUUAGUUUCAGAGAUAAGGAUCCAAGUUUUGGGGGGAAAAUCUAGGAAGAUUUUUGUUUGUUUUUGUUUUUCAGUGAGAAUUAUAGUAGUCCCUGUUUUGUUUUCUAAUCUGCAUUACCACCAUCUCUGUCAGUUCAUGCUGUGGCAUCUUGGGUCAAUGAUAUUCUAAGGGCACAGGUUACUUUGGGAUGCUCAUUCUACAGAUGAAGGGAUUUGGGCAGCAGUGGACCUGGUCAUUCUAAUAUUUAUCUUUUCCUGCAUAUAUAGAAUCCUUAUUUCUAAAGCCACAUUAUGCAGCAGGUCAUGAAGGUUAAGGAAACUCAUCGGCAGUGAACUUGGAGCUAAUAACUAUAGCCUAAUCAUUACCCCAUCACCUGACAAUGAAAAUAUCAAACAAAAAGAGG
rnacentral:lncRNA from 1 species